rnacentral:rRNA from 1 species
AACGAACGCUGGCGGCAGGCUUAACACAUGCAAGUCGAACGCAUCCUUCGGGGUGAGUGGCAGACGGGCGAGUAACGCGUGGGAACGUGCCCUUCAGUUCGGGAUAACCCAGGGAAACUUGGGCUAAUACCGGAUACGUGCGAGAGCAGAAAGGUUUAUCGCUGAAGGAUCGGCCCGCGUCUGAUUAGCUAGUUGGUGGGGUAAUGGCCCACCAAGGCGACGAUCAGUAGCUGGUCUGAGAGGAUGAUCAGCCACAUUGGGACUAAGACACGACCCAAACUCCUACGGGAGGCAGCAGUGGGGAAUAUUGGACAAUGGGCGCAAGCCUGAUCCAGCCAUGCCGCGUGAGUGAUGAAGGACUUAGGGUUGUAAAGCUCUUUCGUCCGGGACGAUAAUGACGGUACCGGAAGAAGAAGCCCCGGCUAACUUCGUGCCAGUCGCCGCAGUAA